rnacentral:rRNA from 1 species
UACAGAGGUGGCAAGCGUUGUUCGGAAUUACUGGGCGUAAAGGGCGCGUAGGCGGCCAUCUAAGUCAGACGUGAAAUCCCCCGGCUUAACCUGGGAACUGCGUCUGAUACUGGAAGGCUUGAGUAUGGGAGAGGGAUGUAGAAUUCCAGGUGUAGCGGUGAAAUGCGUAGAUAUCUGGAGGAACACCGGUGGCGAAGGCGGCAUCCUGGACCAACACUGACACUGAGGAGCGAAAGCCAGGGGAGCGAACGGG